rnacentral:misc_RNA from 1 species
AAGACUAUAGACCUGCGGAGUACCUGCGGAGGGAUCAUUAUUGAAAAUAACUAUGGUGGGUUGUCGCUGGCUUUGUAAAGCAUGUGCACACCUGCUGUCUUUAUCUAUCCCAUUGUGCACUAUGUGUAGUUCUGGAAGGGGGAAGAUCACUCAAGCUCUUCAGGAGUUUUUGGGAUUAGGCCUACUUCCGGGUCUAUGUCUUUUUUCAUAAAUGCUGUAGUAUGUCAAAGAAUGUAGUCA